AGUCUAGAGUGAGGGAGAGGCAGAUGGAAUUGGUGGUGUAGGGGUAAAAUCCGUAGAUAUCACCAAGAAUACCCAUUGCGAAGGCGAUCUGCUGGAACUCAACUGACGCUAAGGCGCGAAAGCGUGGGGAGCAAACAGGAUUAGAUACCCUGGUAGUCCACGCCCUAAACGAUGUACACUAGUUGUUGGGGUGCUAGUCAUCUCAGUAAUGCAGCUAACGCAUUAAGUGUACCGCCUGGGGAGUACGGUCGCAAGAUUAAAACUCAAAGGAAUAGACGGGGACCCGCACAAGCGGUGGAGCAUGUGGUUUAAUUCGAAGAUACGCGAAGAACCUUACCUGGGCUUGAUAUCCUAAGAACCUUUUAGAGAUAAGAGGGUGCUAGCUUGCUAGAACUUAGAGACAGGUGCUGCACGGCUGUCGUCAGCUCGUGUCGUGAGAUGUUGGGUUAAGUCCCGCAACGAGCGCAACCCACGUAUUUAGUUGCUAACGGUUCGGCCGAGCACUCUAAAUAGACUGCCUUCGUAAGGAGGAGGAAGGUGUGGACGACGUCAAGUCAUCAUGGCCCUUAUGCCCAGGGCGACACACGUGCUACAAUGGCAUAUACAAUGAGACGCAAUACCGCGAGGUGGAGCAAAUCUAUAAAAUAUGUCCCAGUUCGGAUUGUUCUCUGCAACUCGAGAGCAUGAAGCCGGAAUCGCUAGUAAUCGUAGAUCAGCCAUGCUACGGUGAAUACGUUCCCGGGUCUUGUACUCACCGCCCGUCACACCAUGGGAGUUGAUUUCACUCGAAGCCGGAAUACUAAACUAGUUACCGUCCACAGUGGAAUCAGCGACUGGGGUGAAGUCGUAACAAGGUAACCGUAGGAGAACCUGCGGUUGGAUCACCUCCUUUCUA
rnacentral:rRNA from 1 species